rnacentral:tRNA from 1 species
GAGGGUGUAGCUCAGGGGCAGAGCACACGCUUGGCGCCCACGAGGUCCUGGGUUCAGUCCCCAGCACCUCCU